UUCCCAGCAAACAUGACCCCAUUAACAAGCUAGCCUACAUUUUAGUCAUUUAUAGCAGACACUCUUAUCAGAAACAACUUACAGAUCCCACGUGUGCAUCGCAUUUACAACCCUGUCAUGGCGAGCACCGCUACUCGACCCACUGAGCCACACAGGACUACACCACCCCAACACAGGCCAGACUCACCAAGCCCAGCUAUAGGAAGGGCUCAUUUCAAUAUUUGCUUUGAAUUAUGGCAUAUACUGUACAAAGAGGACCUCCCAUCAGCCAAUGUAAAAUCCAAGAUAGUGGUCUUUGUUGUCGUUGGACAUUCAGCUCUCCAACUGUCUGCCUGUGCAUUCAGCAGGGCAAGUUAAAGAUCAGAAGAAAGAGUGCCACCUACUGGCCCUCCAACACCACAUCCAGGAGCAUCUGGUGUCCCAUCCAGGGACCGCAGGGUGGUUUGCUGCUGGCCAAAGUUAGCUGAAGUUUGUAUUGACCUAUUAAAGAAAACCGAACCAUGGAUUACAGUUUCUCCUGGUCUAUAAACUACUUUCAGGCUUUUCCCCCUUACCUGGGAGGCAGAUACUGACUGGUUGCUGGAAGAGCAUUUCUGUGCAGAGUUCACACUACCAAGAUUUGAAUCAAGUUCAACUACCACCAAGCAUGUACAUGUAGCUCACUACCUCCCAACACUGUUGAUGAGCAGCAUUUCAACAGACUUCCUUCUAAACAUGGAGUGAUUUAUGGAUGAUGUGGAUGUCUGUGGGAAGAUGAACAAGAUAGUGUUUUGAAAGCGAAAAGGAUACUUUUUAAAAUUUAAGUUAAUAAAGUAUUAUUUAAGGUAAUUUCACCAAAUUUCACUCUGUAGCAAAACAUUUUCACCUGUUUUGUGCCAACUGAACAUGUCCACACUGUGUCUCCACAGUCAAGACUUGAUGAACAGGUGUGGCCAUGGCAACACAGUCUCUAAAACUCACCAUGAGGUCAUGUUUAGUAGGCACAAAAUGGGAGAAAAGGGACUGAAAUGGAGUGACACAGAAAAGUGUCCUACUGAACAUGACCCAGGGUCCUGACCCUUUUUGGAAUGACUCUGCGCUAUUGGCUGAUGAACAGGGCCAAGUUCGAGGAGCUGUAUCCUGAGCGUGUGUUCCUCUGGUGGCAGUGAUGGAGAAGGUCCAGUUCCAGCUCGAAGACAUCUUCGGAGGAACCACACACGUAAAUCCCCUCCAUGAAAACACAGCAAGUUCUUCAAAAGGGAAGUCAGCGCUACAUUCAACGCAGAAGAGGCAGACGCUAAUGUAUACUGUUUCUAGUUGGUGUGACACCCUCUCUUUUAAGACAACAUAAUUGCAUGUAGUACACAGCAUAUUUGUUCAUACAAUUCGUGUUUCUCAAAAGGGAUUUCGGUGCUCCCCAGCCAUUUCACAUAAGGGCUUACUGAUUAGUUGAAUCAUGUGUGCUAGAAUUGGAAUCAAAAACAUA